rnacentral:rRNA from 1 species
AUGGUGGUAACGGGUAACGGGGAAUUAGGGUUCGAUUCCGGAGAGGGAGCCUGAGAAACGGCUACCACAUCCAAGGAAGGCAGCAGGCGCGCAAAUUACCCAAUCCCGACACGGGGAGGUAGUGACAAUAAAUAACAAUACGGGGCUCUUUCGGGUCUCGUAAUUGGAAUGAGUACAAUUUAAAUCCCUUAACGAGGAACAAUUGGAGGGCAAGUCUGGUGCCAGCAGCCGCGGUAAUUCCAGCUCCAAUAGCGUAUAUUAAAGUUGUUGCAGUUAAAAAGCUCGUAGUUGAAUUUCGGGAUUGACACAUCGGUCGUGCCUUAAGGGGUAUGAACUGGUGUAGUCAAUUUCUCACCUUCUGGAGAACCGCGAUGCCCUUAAUUGGGUGUCGCGGGGAACCAGGACCUUUACUUUGAAAAAAUUAGAGUGUUUAAAGCAGGCAUUUUGCUUGAAUACAUUAGCAUGGAAUAAUAAAAUAGGACGGCAUGAUUCUAUUUUGUUGGUUUUAGGAUCACCGUAAUGAUUAAUAGGGAUAGUUGGGGGCAUUAGUAUUCAAUUGUCAGAGGUGAAAUUCUUGGAUUUAUUGAAGACUAACUACUGCGAAAGCAUUUGCCAAGGAUGUUUUCAUUAAUCAAGAACGAAAGUUAGGGGAUCGAAGACGAUCAGAUACCGUCGUAGUCUUAACCGUAAACUAUGCCGA